UAGGGAAUCUUCGGCAAUGGACGAAAGUCUGACCGAGCAACGCCGCGUGAGUGAAGAAGGUUUUCGGAUCGUAAAACUCUGUUGUUAGAGAAGAACAAGGACGUUAGUAACUGAACGUCCCCUGACGGUAUCUAACCAGAAAGCCACGGCUAACUACGUGCCAGCAGCCGCGGUAAUACGUAGGUGGCAAGCGUUGUCCGGAUUUAUUGGGCGUAAAGCGAGCGCAGGCGGUUUCUUAAGUCUGAUGUGAAAGCCCCCGGCUCAACCGGGGAGGGUCAUUGGAAACUGGGAGACUGGAGUGCAGAAGAGGAGAGUGGAAUUCCAUGUGUAGCGGUGAAAUGCGUAGAUAUAUGGAGGAACACCGGUGGCGAAGGCGGCUCUCUGGUCUGUAACUGACGCUGAGGCUCGAAAGCGUGGGGAGCAAACAGG
rnacentral:rRNA from 1 species